AUAUUCUCUCACUCUUCCUUAAUCACUCGAUGGUGGGCUUCCAUCCGCUACGCACGCUCAUUCUUCUCUCUUCAACCGCACAACUUUGGAGUUGUAGAAGCUACUCUCCUUCCACGUAGAUGGUGGUCGCUGGGGACGCCGAACGGGGCAAAAGACGAGGACCUCCGGGUCCAAUUGUCGGCCGAGAUAAGAGGUCUCAGGUUGAAUAGCAUGAACCUGGUGCCUCACAGAGUUGUGUUAGUGAUGAUGACUUCGUUUCACCACCGUUGCCCUUCCUUGCUAUGGUGCGGGAACACCCGUUGUGGGAUGCCCCUUAUUAUGAGCUUACUGUUGCGGAGGACGCGAGGUUUCCUUGGGCGAAGACAAGGAUGCCGACUGCCGCAUUGGUUGAUGUGCUUAAGGACCUCACAGCCUAGCAGAGGGAUGACAUUUGGGGUGUGGGGUUUAGCUCGUUGUUGGAGUUUCGGGUGAAUGAGUGCCCUCCCCACCUUGUGUGCUGGUUGCUUUCCAAUUUUGAUGGGUAGACGAGGACUAGUUUUCAAAUUUUUUUUUGAGAUUUUUGACACUAUGUAUCGUUUGUGACUAUGUUCCCGAGGGUAUUAUGAUCUUUAUGGAGUGCAUAUUAUGAUUUUUUAUCAGUCAACGAUGGGUUUUUUAAAACAACUUUUUGGUUUCUUUUUAA